CCCUUAGAUGUCCUUGGCCGCACGCGCGCUACACUGAGUGUCUGAGAUACGAGUCUGCCUGGUCCGGCAAGGUCUAGGUAAUCGCUAAAAGACACAUCAUGCUUGGGAUAGAUUAUUGCAAAUAUUAAUCUUGAACGAGGAAUUCCUAGUAAGCGCAAGUCAACAGCUUGCGUUGAUUACGUCCCUGCCCUUUGUACACACCGCCCGUCGCUACUACUGAUUGGAUGUUUAAGCGAGGUUCUCGAACUGCUAGCGACUUAGCUUCGGUGAGGUCGCAGUGUGGGAAGUGAACCUAGCUUUGGUGUCUAGAGGAAGUAAAAGUCGUAACA
rnacentral:rRNA from 1 species